rnacentral:rRNA from 1 species
UACGUAGGGUGCGAGCGUUGUCCGGAAUUAUUGGGCGUAAAGAGCUUGUAGGCGGUUUGUCGCGUCUGCUGUGAAAAUCCGGGGCUCAACCCCGGACUUGCAGUGGGUACGGGCAGACUAGAGUGUGGUAGGGGAGACUGGAAUUCCUGGUGUAGCGGUGGAAUGCGCAGAUAUCAGGGGGAACACCGAUGGCGAAGGCAGGUCUCUGGGCCACUACUGACGCUGAGAAGCGAAAGCAUGGGGAGCGAACAGG